CUCACAGCCUGUUAAAUCUAGGAACGAAGUUGUUGGAGAUUUUAACUAGGACAUUGUACACUGAAAGGAUUCCGGAGAAGGUUAUUCCGGCAAGGGUAAAAAUGUGGUGAACUGAAGUGCUAGACCUGGUUGGAUUAGCAAUAAAACUUUAGUAGUAGUAUAUGUAAUCGGGAGAAGUGUUUUAAAUAUGUAUUUUGUGAUAAACCUGAACUUUUAGAGGCGUAUGAUGUAAGACUUUUGAUGUAAGGUUAAAUGUACCUUUAACUUAUGCUGAAAUGUUAAGUUGAGAUUAUGAAGAUA